UGGAGAGUUUGGAGUUCAAGUUUUUAGAUCAUCACCACAAAAUUGCAUAUAAGAUUUGGUUGGAAUUAAACACUAAAACAUAUUUUGUGUUUUACAGGUGACUACCCAACAUGCUGUGGAGCUGUAAAUACUGUGAGUUCAGCUGUGAUAAGAGAGGUUACUACCUCAGACACUACAGAACACUAAUUUCUUUUCUUUUUUUUUUUUUUUUUUUUUUAGAUUUGUCUGAAAUUCAAAAGGAUUGUGGGAAAAGACCUGCACCAGGAAUUUUAUUCUGCCCUUGAUAACCACACUACCCAUUUUAUUGAAAGUUUUAAAGCUAAGAGGGGCAACGUGGGUGACAGUUGGCACAGCUUUUGCAGCAAAUGCAGUCACUGGAUUCUACUGAAAAAAGGACAGUCACACUAAGAGGGCUUCCUUACUUACUCGGAGACAAUCCCACUGAAUUCUUCAAAUCUAGAAGCUUUGAUGGUGAUGAAUCCUUUCGCCAAAUGGACAUUGGGAUCUUGUUAGUAAAUCUGAAGGUGUCUCUCUUCCAACACCAGAUCUUCCCCCAGCAAGUCUGAAAAUCAUCAUUGAGGGUGAAAUUGUUAUGGACAAGCUGACAACCCUUAUAAGCCCUUGUUUGAAUUGUGAAAUGUAAAACACAAAAGCAAAUGCUGUUACAGGGAACAAACAGAAGACUGCACUUUAUUCAGGUUUAAGCAUGUUAUUAUUGCACUAUUUUUGCAAUAA